rnacentral:rRNA from 1 species
UACGUAGGGCGCAAGCGUUGUCCGGAAUUAUUGGGCGUAAAGAGCUCGUAGGCGGCCUGUUGCGUCCGCUGUGAAAUCCCGGGGCUCAACCCCGGGCGUGCAGUGGAUACGGGCUGGCUGGAGGCAGGCAGGGGAGAACGGAACUCCUGGUGUAGCGGUGAAAUGCGCAGAUAUCAGGAGGAACACCGGUGGCGAAGGCGGUUCUCUGGGCAUGUCCUGACGCUGAGGAGCGAAAGUGUGGGGAGCGAACAGG